UAAGUCAGAAAUACAAUUUAUUAGGAAAAAGGGAACAAAGAACCAAAUACAUACAAUAGCAUAAAAGAAGAACUACUGACAGAGUCAGAGAUACAGCCUGACACUCGCUGGCUGGGGCGGUGGUAGUAGAUAUGGUUCUGUCCAAGCAGUGGUCCUGCAGACUGAUGGAGUUUCCCUCUGGAGGUCCAGUGCAGAGAAGGUCUCAGCUGUUCCUCUUGGAAGAGGGGAUUUACUUGCUGUUUGUACAACCCCACUUACAUCCUUGAUGGCAUUCGUUUGGCUCCUCCCUGUGGGCGGAGCAUCUCACAAUAGAACGCUGUGAUCUUAUCAGUCAUAUGGCUAAAAGAGCAGGUCCUCCCGGAGGGACUUAUCUCUGAGCCACGAGAUAAGGAAAGAAAGGGAUUGCAGCUCCAGGUGGUAAUGGAAUACACCCCAAUAUUAUAACCUAGGACACCCUGGAUCCCUGGCAGUGCCCAAGGCUAGGUGGAUGGAGCUUGGAGCACCCUGGGAGAGUGAAAGGUGUCCCUGCCUGUGGCAAGGGGUGGAACAGGAUGAGCUUUGAGGUACUUUUCAACCCAAAGCCAUUCUCCCUUCCAUCAUGCACAUCUGUUUCCAGUUGAGAGGCACCUUGUCCUGGGGCUAAUUCAGACCUAAUCACUAAACAUUCUGUGUCUCCAUACAAUGAAGCAAGGAGAAUCCAGGCUACACACUCCGGAAAAAUGUUCAGUGAGAAAAGCAACACUGCACCAGGAGACGAUGUCUUAAAAAUGUCAAACCCAUCUUCUCCUCCAGCAUCCCUCAGGUGGAGUCAGAAAAGCACCUCUGCUGCUACCAAGCACAGAUUUAGCCAUCACAGUGUAGAAGGUCUGAUGGCAAAUUGGUUGACGGCUGCCACCUGAUUUCAGCCAUGUGAGCAGCAAGUGCUUAACACAGGGGUAGUGAUGCACUCACCCCACUGCCAUUAGCAGCAGCACAGCCCAGCACUCAUAUCCAUCCCCAUGUCCUCAGGCAGCACCUCCUCCUGAAAGCACACUGCCAGGAUUUCAGCGGACCAGGGCCCUGCUUCCCAAGCCCUUCAGGCAGGUUGCAAGAAAGCAAAUUAACAGGUUGAAACCCUGACAAUUUUCUUCUGAAACAAGGUCGCUGAGGAUCUCACAAGUCCCUGACUGGCUGGCUUGCUAUCAGCUCAAAGGCAUUUCAAGAACAUUAGCUCUGGUGCCAAAAAUAUCUGGGCUCAUCCCUGCGGCAAAACAGCAGCAGGGGGAGGAGGAGGAGGAUGGGAUGCAAUGGCAGUGUCUGAACAGACAGAGGGAUGGGGGAGCAGAGAUGUUUGGGUUUUUGGGUUUUUUUGGGGGGGUGCCUCCACCACUGGGAAGAGUAAAUGAAGGAGAUUUAAAGUCUUCUGUCAGCCAGAACUAACUUUGUCACCAUGAUGGUUCUUAGCUGGACUCGAGGAUCUUAGAGGGAGGUCUUUUCCCACUGUAAUGUUUCCACAUUUACCUCUGCCAAUAGAUCUCAGCACACAGCAGCAAAGCCAACUUGAAAUAAACCUUCAGCAUGCCCAGCCCCCUACAAAAAGCACUACAAAAGGGCUUCCUGACAUCAUGCCCAGCUCACCAGUGUUUUACUCUACUGGAAAUUUUGUUUGCUGUCUCCAGUCUCACCUUACGGUCUUUUCAAAAUGAGGGGAUUUUGGGUUUUACCAGUGAAAUCAUUGCUGUGGAACAAAAUUCAGUAUCAGGACAACAUUUAGCAAUCAGAACAACAUUCAGUAAUUGUUACAAGAACCAUAUCUGCAAGCUUCAGCACAAAUACACCUCCAGAUAGACCCGGAAUAAGAUCUCUCACAACCCUCUUUCAUGGUGUCCACCAUUUUAUUUUUGGAUUUGAUGUGUAAAUUAAGCAUUUAGAGGCCUCCAUUCUGACUCCUGAGGCUUUUUCCCAAAAAGUUCUCCUGGCUAACAUUCCCUUGGGUUGAGGUGGAUGUUUUGCCCCGGUCCCUGUGAGCACAGACUAGUUCUGACUGCUCUUGUCACACACAGCAGCAUUUCUGGGCACAGGGGCAAAUGGAUUUGAGCUGAAGGAGGGCAAGUAUUAGAUGAGAUAUUGGGAAGGGAUUGUUCCCUGGGAGGGUGGGCAGGCCCUGGCACAGGGUGCCCAGAGCAGCUGUGGCUGCCCAGGGAUCCCUGGCAGUGUCCAAGGCCAGGCUGGACACUGGGGCUUGGAGCAGCCUGGGAAUAGUUGAAGGUGUCCCUGCCCAUGGCAGGGGUUUGGGACAAGAUGAGCUUUAAGGUCCCUUCCAACCAAACAAUUCGGUGGUCUGACCCCUAGAAUUCUCACCUCUAGGCCUCUGUCCUGAUGGGCAAAGCCACCCUGGGACAGAUGCAGGUCCUGGGAAGCAGCUUCUGGCCGCUGCUGCCCUCAGUGCACACCCAGAUUGUGCAACAGCUCUGAGAAGCCACCCAGGCCCUGCAGAGCGGUGCCAUGCUGAAUGCAUUAGCUGUGCUGGGAACAAAUGAGUGAAGCAAAGCCAGUUUUGUUGUUGUGCUGGGGGCAGAGGAGCGGGCGCGGGGCGGCAGAGGCGGAGCACGGUGACAGCGCUGUCCCACAGAGCAGCCGGGCUGCAGCCACACACGGCCCAGAGGUGCCCAGAUCCAGACCUGGGGGCUGUCGCUGCUGGAGCGUGUUUAUUCUAGCCCUGCUUCCCUGCGUGCGUAUUCCCAGCAGGAGGGGAUGUAAACUGGCUCAGCCAUGCCUGCCCAGCCCUCCAUCCUCCACCACAUGCCAAAACUCUUCUGCUCACACUCUGCGAGGUCACAUUUCCUGGCAGAGAGCUCGGCUCCUUCUCCCCUCUCCCUUCCCCCAUGCUCCUAGUGAAAUAUGAAAACAGCCUGCCACCUGCCAUUUGCCUGGCCUGCUUCUCUCUGUGUGCCAAAAAUUAGCAACAUACCCCAAAAUGUAAUUGGAAACACUGCACUGCACUGCAGGGGUCCCAUUGCUGUUGCAUACAGGAGGCUUGACAAAAAGCCAAUUUAAUUUCUAGAUUCUCUGGGCUGCAUGUGCUACACUAAGUGUACACUAACCUCCUCACGCUAAGUGAGGAGGUUAAAAAAAAAUCCCUUUUAUCAAGCCAAUUCCUAUUAGUAGGUUUAGAUCUUUUAACAAGCCAUGCUGUAGGAAUCAGCGAGCUGUCACUGCCAGCACAUUUAGGGCAUUGUUUCUUGGAAUUGGAGUAGUGUGGGAGGUCAGGAGUUAGAAGUCGGCAUUUCCAAACUUCAGGGCCGGGAGCUGGGGAGUGCAGGCAGAGCUGAAGGUGGCAGAGGAUUCAUGAGGGCUGACACUAACCCCAGGAAGGAAACUACCCUACCCCCCGCUCCCCAGGAGAACUGGCGCAAGUCCCGGAGGAUCCUUGCAGGAGGAUCCUUGCAGGAAGAUCCUUGCAGGAGGAUCCUUGCAGGAGCCUUCUGGACGUGGCUCCCACACCUCCGUGCUCAGGGCAGCUCUGACAGCGGAGCACAGCACCACUGAUGCUGCCCAGGCUGCAGACCAGCCCUGCAGAGCCAGAAGCUAUCUCCUUUUUGCAGGAAAAGGGCAGGACAGGCGAGAAAGAAAAUAUAGGGCACCUCAUUCACACCACUCCUUGGCAGAGAGCUCAGCCAGCAGAUUUGUGAAACUGAAAAGCAACAUUUCACCCCGAAAGAGCUGUUUACAUUGUUAGGGUUGACUGGCCAGGCUUAGGAAAGAGCUGUGCCAAACUGGCUUAUUAUUAUCUCCCUUCCCCAAAACACUCGGGGCCUGCUCCUUUGUUACGGGAUGUCUGUAUCCAUGGAGCUGUGCUGAAAUCCAUGUGCCUCGGGGCCACCUGUACACACAGACACAGGGAACUCAGCCACUCCGGCAGCAAUAAAGAUAGAUAUUGGGAAGGAGUUGCUCCCUGGCAGGGUGGGCAGGCCCUGGCACAGGGUGCCCAGAGAAGCUGUGGCUGCCCCUGGAUCCCUGGCACUGCCCAAGGCCAGUUUGAAGCGCCCUGGGACACUGGAAGGUGUCCCUGCCCAUGGCAGGGGGUGGAAUGGAUGAGCUUUAAGGUCCCUUCCAACACAAACCACCCUGGGAUUCUGUGAAAUUAAUUGUCAGGCUGGAGCCAAAGCCUCACUGACCUCAUGUUUCCCCUGAAAUUCUGCUCCCUCCUCGACCUUAUACCAAGGCUGUACAACACACUCAGGAGAUCCAAACAGGAACAAUUCUUCCAUCUGCUCUUAGGGAGAAAAGCGCUUAAACCCAAAACACAGCACUAUUAAGUAUCUCCCCAAAUCCUCCCUGGCCAGGUUCCUUGGAGAAGAUGCAAAGAGAUGAUCAGAUCAGGCACUCAGGUGUGGCUCAAGGCUCAAACAAGACACUGGGACAAUGGAAUGCCUCUGGGGAUGGAGCCUCUCAGCCCAUCUAACAGAAUCACAAGAUCCUGGGUGGAAGGAACCCACCAGGUUCAUGGAGUCCAACCCCUGGCCCUUUAGAGGGCAGUGCCCAGAAUCCCACCCUGUGCCUGAGAAUGCUGUGUUUGGGACUGGGACUCGGAUACCCAAACCCCAUCAGGGAUCUGCUGCAUGGGACUGUGGGCUGCCUUAAUUUCAGCCUCAGAAGGGCAAGCCAAGAGGGAGCCCUGAGGAAACUCCACAUUCCUUCUCAUCAGGCUGAUUACUGAAUAGGCUUUAAUAGAUCAGGGAAUUAAGAAUUUGAUUAAGUCUAAAGAACUGCUUUGAAAUUCUUCAAAAUUAGAUUUUUUUUUUGUCUAUAGCAAGCAUGCUAUGGAAUACUAGGGAGAUGACCCCACGUUUCCAAAAACUAAAACAAAAAAAGUCAUCGCAAAAUCCACAGCUGCUCCCCAUUUGCAAUAAGCUGUUUAAAACAAAAUAAACCAAUACAUUUUGCUCCAAGAAACAUGCAUUAGACACUGGCAGCUUGCUUCCCUCAUUCCUCUAUCCCCAAAUACUUUGAAUGGAAGGAGGAAACCUUGAAGUGAUACAUAUGUGAGAAGCUCUGAGAACAAUAGCUGCUCCCCAGUUGACUCUAGAGCUGUUAACAAACUCAAGGUUCCCAUGCUAGAGGAACCCAGCUGGAGCAGCACCAGCACCAGGCUCUGAGAACACCAGCAAAAGUCAGAUUUCCACCUACAAAUUCCUAGAAGUUUGUAGUCCAAAGAGCAAAACACCACAGAUUCAUGUGGGCAGGCUCAGAGGGAUGGCAUCCUGGAAACCUCCCCUCCAAGAGCAAAAUAUCAGCAGGCUAAUCUUCAGAUCAGGAGGGGCAGGAUCCUGCUUGGAGCACAACGUCACCACUGUGUUUUUAAACUGAAUUUUACUCACAGUGAGGUGCAGUCAGUACAAAGAGGCUACAGUGGGUUUGUCACACCAUGGUGUCUGGAAGUAGCAGCUCAGUCCCUGGAUGUGUCAAGAAGGGGAGAAGAAACUGAGUGCUGCCGUUUGCAACCAGCUCACAGCUCUUGUCCCUCCUGAAAAUGAGGGGAAGAAUUGGAGGGUGCAUCGUGCACCCUCCGUGGGGGUGGCUCUGAGGAUCCCUUUUUCUAGGCUUUUGAAAAAUGAAGCUUCUCUUAACACCCACAGCUGCAAGCGUGUGCAGCCAUUCCCUCUGAUUCCCCAGACACAGAGCUGGCCCAUGGGAAGUAAUGCCAUGAAAGUUUUCUCUGGGUUUAAAAGCUCAGAGAUGCCUCUGAAGCACUGCCUUCAAAUGAAGCCUUCACCAAGGGACACCUACAGGAAGAAUGAGCAGCCCAGUCCACUGUCCAAGAGAGCCUCGCCCCAGGCAAAAAACAGAGGUGAGGAAAGAGCUGAGGGAGAACUAAACCACUCUGUUCAAAAUGAGAUCUUCAGGCAUCAAGAACUCAGAAAAGCAGGUGAAGGAAGGUUUCAAAGGCUGCCUGAGACUUGUACACUUGUACUCCCCAGCAGGCUGCACCUCUGUGCCCACAUUGAUCUCCUUUCCACAGAGGACACACAAAGGGACGUUUCCCGGCAUUCACAGCAAACCUUACCUGAGUUAUACAUCAGAUCCUCCCAGCUGCCAUUGGAUCCCAGUCCCUGAUUCCCAGAGACCCCUGAUAAAUUCCCAGCCCUGCAUUAAGGACUCCAAGCUCAGCAGCAGGAUCUCUCCAUCCAGCACAGCAAUACCCCCACUGCAAGAUUUCCCUGAAUGCAGAUUGCUCUGAGUCACCUCUUCUCCAACCUGAUGUUCCCAGAAAGGCUGGGGAAGGGACCUUAACAUUCCAGCCCCCUGCCAUGGGGUGGAACUCCUCCCAGUACUCCAGGUUGCUCCAAACCCCAUCCAACCUGGCCUUGGACACUUUCAGGAAUGGGGCAAAGGAUAGAGGAGCACAGGAGAUUUCCCAGAAAGUUUCAGAUAUGAGGAAGCAUCCAGGUUCUUCACUGAGUGCCGGGAUGCUAACAAAGCUGUCCAGGAAACUUUUCAUCCCGGCUGCUGUGGAUUUGGGUCUUGUGCUGGCCCAGUCUGGCCUGUCAAACAGAGAGACCCAGGCUUGGCAUCUGCCACUCUGCUGUUUGUCAUUGUGCAGGAAUGCUGAGGGAUCAUUUUAUCCCUACUCUAAAUUUCAGAUGCUUCCCCUUGGCCAUGACAAAGGGGAGCUCUGCCCCACCCCUCUCCACAGGUUCUCAGAGCCAGGGGUUUGCAAACAGCCUGGUGACAACACUGCUGAGUAACAUACAGAGUAUUAAGAGUCAAUUAAGAAUUUAUUAAGAGAGGGUCCACAGGAGGUAGUGACCUGGAUCCAGCUGUUGCACCCUUCUGGGAGAAGAAGUCAACUGGAGCUUUCAGACCUUCCACAGGGAGACCAGGAACAAACACUCCAAUCAAAAAGAAGGGUUUGUUGUUGUCUCACAAAACCCCUCUCCCUGCCAGCUGUGCUCCAGCCCCUCAAGCGCAUCCCAUCCUUUGCUGCUAAGCACAUCCCACGCACAAAGGCUCAUUGCAGUCUGUGGUCAUUCAAAGGGGUCACCCAAGACCUGAACUGGCUGAAGCCAAGGUGGAAAUAAUAGAAAUCAUCUGCCAGGAUCAAACUGUAAAUCAUCUGAGACCUCUGAUGGAGCCCAAACAGGAAAAUUUUUUCAAUUUUUGCUGUUUGGUUUGGAUCAAAAUAAUUUAAAGUGGCAAAUGCAACAUCUGCAGGGAGCUUCAGGAGUAACCCUUGGGACUGCAAGGAGUUCAGUUCUCUCAGGCAGAAAUUCUUCUCUGCAGAGGAAGCUUCCCAGAGAAGCUGUGGCUGCCCCUGGAUCCCUGCAAGUGUCCAAGGCCAGCUUGGAUGGGGCUUGGAGGAGCCUGGGACAGUGGAAUGUGUCCCUGCCCAUGGCAGGGAGUGGCACAGGAUGAGCUUU
ensembl:lncRNA